AAUAACAAUAACAGUAAUAAUAUAUAAACAACAAAAAUAUCACUAAAACCUAGUACUUAUUUUUUGCUCUGUAUUGAAGAUAGGAAUACUGGUAACAAACAGCUUACACUUUAGUCUCUACAGUCAGGAAGAGCUCAUGUUAUUCUUGCAAUUAUCAAGAAAAAGGGCUGCAGAGGCAAUUUUCUCAGUCACCACUUGAAAACAGUUAUCAGACGCAGAUUCUGGGAUAGCACGUUCUGAACGGUUUACACAGAAACAGAAGAUCCGAUAACAAAAAUGUGUUUGCUGGAGAACUAAGGGCUGCUUAGCGGACAGACCUGGCGUGUUCUACUCUGGGCAAUACUGUGGAAAAUUCUAGACUUCGGCUGCAAUAGGAGAGACCUAUUCAGGAGAGAAGAUGGCUGUUACACACACACACACACACACCCCACCCCUUCACAGGGCAGGAGCUCCUUGUUAGGAAAAAAGCAAACGCUGACCAGAAGGCUGAGAGCUCUUUGACAGUCCAUCUCCCACAGACUAUUCACUAGAUUUUUUUAAAUCCCCAAGUGCAUGCAAAACAUCUGUAGGGCUGAAAAUAUGAAACAGGAACCGAGAGGGGCAGCAGCUUGUCUGCAGGUGGUCCGCAUCGCUGGUUUGUAAGGUUUUGUGCUAAUAAUGUAAUAGGUGUUUGCCUUCUUUUGGAGGUGAUUUCUACCUUCAAAGGACCACAUUUUUUUAACGAGAAAAGUUCUUUGGCUUUAUACAGCCCACCAACUACUCCUCUCCCCCUCCAGCUUCCCUGACUUUUUGCUCCGGACAUCCAACAGGGAGAGCUGUUGUACAGCAGCUACUAUCUCGUAACGGCAGCGUAAACCUCCACCUUCUCACCCCUCACAACUCUGGCAGCGGUGUCCUACGUGUUGUACAUUACCAAUGUAAAAAUCAAAAGUGCAGUGACCUUAAGGUCUGUGUAAAAUACACUGAACCGGACAUAAAAAUAAACAACAGAAAGAAGAAGUCAGAAAUUAUUCAUGUUUAUACUGGAGUAAAUAAAACCUUCCAUUUUUAAUUCAACUAAAUCUGCUGCAGGUUUUUCCAUUUCACCACCCCAGAAUAUCGCAGAAAGCUAAGGGCUCUGCAGUAUGAUUAAAGUUCAAUUUGUCACAGAGUGCAAGACCACAGUUGUCUUUACAUUACACAGUUACAAGAGCUGUGAAACUUUACAGCUCCACCAAACCCAGGACCUUCCACACCACUCAACAAUUUUUACAUUGACAAGAAGUCUUCAAAGAGGAAAGCAAGAAAGCCUUUUAUGUACAGUCAACACUGAAAAAUGGUGUACAUCCUUGUUUGAAAUACAUCUGUUGCCACCGGGAGAGUAUAACAGUUUCCACUGCUCUGCUAUCAAACUAAGGAGCUGCAAUCUACAGUUCAUUUUUAGCAGCUCUGCCAACUCUGUUCUAUUACUUCCGAGAAGUCCAUCCUACAGUGCCCCCAGCACAGAUCUCACAGGAACGCACGUUAUUUUAAAGCUGUGUGAGGACUGUGUGAGACUCCGGGCUCUGCUUCCUUUCAUUUUACAAACUACCAAGUGAUUUCUCACACAGGACAGGAACCCAAACGUGUCUGAAUACAGCAGCUUGAUCUCUGCUACCAUGUAUAUCCAAGUAACAAAUUUUUGCCCAUGCAUCUGACGUCAGAUGACUCUUUAAUAAAUACGUGCCAACACUUUUCUUUACGGGAAACACAGGCACUACUUGUUAUUUAUGCUUAGCCCAUAACACACCAUCCAGGCAGCAGUGUUCCCAUCUACUUUCACGUGUUGGUACAAAUGAGUUGGGCUCAUAGGACCUAUCUCUAGGCUCCCAAUGGCUUCAGUCAGGAUUUGUUCCAAUAAAAUCAGUGGAGAUGAAGUUAGCUGCAGUGGAAGAAGAUGUUUUCAAAGGAAAAGACCAU